CCCUUAGAUGUUCUGGGCUGCACGCGCGCUACACUGAUGCACUCAACGAGUUUACAACCUUAUCCGGAAGGAUUGGGUAAUCUUUUGAAUGUGCAUCGUGAUGGGGAUAGAUUAUUGCAAUUAUUAAUCUUCAACGAGGAAUUCCUAGUAAGCGCAAGUCAUCAGCUUGCGCUGAUUACGUCCCUGCCCUUUGUACACACCGCCCGUCGCUCCUACCGAUUGAAUGGUCCGGUGAAGCGUUCGGACCGUGGCCUUUGGACGGUUCGCCGUCUGUUGGCUGCGGGAAGUUCGUUAAACCUUAUCAUUUAGAGGAAGGAGAAGUCGUAACA
rnacentral:rRNA from 1 species